CUGCCUGCCUUAAGCGAGUCAUAGUUACUCCCGCCAUUUACCCGCGCUUCAUUGAAUGUCUUCACUUUGACAUUCAGAGCACUGGGCAGAAAUCACAUCGCG